rnacentral:rRNA from 1 species
GAUGAACGCUGGCGGCGUGCCUAAUACAUGCAAGUCGAGCGAACAGACGAGGAGCUUGCUCCUCUGACGUUAGCGGCGGACGGGUGAGUAACACGUGGAUAACCUACCUACAAGACUGGGAUAACUUCGGGAAACCGGAGCUAAUACCGGAUAAUAUAUUGAACCGCAUGGUUCAAUAGUGAAAGACGGUUUUGCUGUCACUUAUAGAUGGAUCCGCGCCGCAUUAGCUAGUUGGUAAGGUAACGGCUUACCAAGGCAACGAUGCGUAGCCGACCUGAGAGGGUGAUCGGCCACACUGGAACUGAGACACGGUCCAGACUCCUACGGGAGGCAGCAGUAGGGAAUCUUCCGCAAUGGGCGAAAGCCUGACGGAGCAACGCCGCGUGGGUGAUGAAGGUCUUCGGAUCGUAAAACUCUGUUAUUAGGGAAGAACAAAUGUGUAAGUAACUAUGCACGUCUUGACGGUACCUAAUCAGAAAGCCACGGCUAACUACGUG